UACGUAGGGCGCAAGCGUUGUCCGGAAUUACUGGGCGUAAAGGGCUCGUAGGUGGUUUGUCGCGUUGUUCGUGAAAACUCACAGCUCAACUGUGGGCGUGCGGGCGAUACGGGCAGACUUGAGUACUGCAGGGGAGACUGGAAUUCCUGGUGUAGCGGUGGAAUGCGCAGAUAUCAGGAGGAACACCGGUGGCGAAGGCGGGUCUCUGGGCAGUAACUGACGCUGAGGAGCGAAAGCGUGGGGAGCGAACAGG
rnacentral:rRNA from 1 species